rnacentral:lncRNA from 1 species
GAAGGACUACUAGUUGGACUAGGAAAGGGGGAAUCCUACUCCCGGUGGGAGUAGGACUCCCCAUGGCGCACCAUAGAGAGGGCCGGCCUCCUCCUCCCUCCCUCCUUUAUAUACGGGGGCAGGGGGCACCCCAUGAACACACAAGUUGAUCUACGGAUCGUUCCUUAGCCGUGUGCGGUGCCCCCCUCCACCAUAUUCCACCUCGGUCAUAUCGUCGCAAAGCUUAGGCGAAGCCCUGCGCCGGUAGAACAUCAAGAUCGUCACCACGCCGUCGUGCUGACGAAACUCUCCCUCCCCGAAGCUCUACUGGAUUGGAGCCCGAGGAGCGUCAUCGAGCUGUACGUGUGUCAAGAACUCGGGGGCGCCGGAGUAACGGCGCCGGGAUCGGUCGGAUCGCGAGGAGAACGUACGACUACUUCCUCUACGUUGUGAUCGCUUCCGCUUCGGUCUACGAGGGUACGUAGACAGCACUCUCCCCUCUCGUUGCUAUGCAUCACCAUGAUCUUGCGUGUGCGUAGGAAAUUUUUUGAAAUUACUACGUUCCCCAACACUACAAGUCAAUGCGUUCAACUGAACGUUACAUUCUUUGAGCACUGCGACUCUAUCAUACGAGCGCCACGCAUAACUUCCCCGAAAUAAUGCUCGGCAGGAAGCCGGUUUCCAUCCGAACCCUGGGCAGCAACAGCGGUGGCAUCCAUCUCCGGACACCGCGCCUUUACACGGGCCAGAGCCAUCCGCGCGCCCUCGAUGUAGGCCGACCGUUUCAUCUCCUUGAUAUGCGGCACCGCCCCAAGGAACUGCUGCAGUAGGCCGAAGUAGCUCGUCGCCUUGGACCUCUCUGGCCAUAUAUGGGCCACGAUGUCAGUCAUAGCCAGCCUGGACAGUCUAUUCAGUUCGGCCCAUUCGGCCAACCUGUCCGUCAGCGGAAGAGGGCGAUCCGGACUGUGGAAUUGAGUCCAAUAUAACUCUUCCGCCUCGUGAUCCCCCUGGCUCCGGAAGUGCUUAACGGCAUCAGCCGCACUCGCAGCCAAAUCCAUAUAUGGCCUCCGAACUCCACAGCCGCUCAAAUUGAGCGUACUUGGCAUCCAUAAACCGGCGACGCAUAAGAAACGGCUUGCCAGCCGUGAUUUCUCCGGCUUGGCGCAGCUCCUCCUUCAUAGCCCGCAUUGCAGAACAGGCAUCCUUGGCUUCGGCGGUGGCCUUCUUCAGGUCUUCCCGCUCCGAUAAGCGCUCCUUUUCAAGAGCCUCAUUGCGGUCGGUAGCAUCCUUUAAUUUCUUGGCCAAUUCGGCCACCUCUGCUUAGGCAGUGCGCCGCCUUCUCGGCUUUCAACUCUUCGGCCGCCCUCGCGGCAGCCACGUCACUCCUUCGGGCUUGCUCCUUAGCCAGAGCAAGUUCGGCCCGAAGGCUCUCCACAGCAGCAGCACUAUCUGUAUUAACAACAUAUAACUUAUCAGAGGCGGGCUUGGACCCACUCAAUAAAGCAGCUGCGGAGAACUUACUUACCUUGCGACUCAUCAAGUCGCUGAUUGACAAGGGCGAUGUCAGCAUCUGCCACGUCAAGUUGUCGACUUAAUUCGACAAACUCACUAGUCCGGCUGGCCCCCGGACUAUCCGCCACCUGUAUCAGAGCGGCGGUAUUCAUUGCCUGAGAUGUUGAGAUUUUGAUCCUUGGCACGCUGUCGUUUUCGACAACCUACCGAGUCUCAGGGGCUACUAUCUAUACAGGGCGCAUUUUUUAUAUGCAAAACUGUUAAAAAACAAAGGGGUGCAUCAUUUUCGCAUACCUCAAAUCCCGCCAGCAAGCUCAGGGCGGCAUUACGCAAUCCGCUUUCAGCGGACGAAAUCCUUCCGACCACCGUACGCAUUAAUACGCGGUGAUCUUCUGAAAUGGACGCCCUCUCAAGCAAACUCUUCAGUUCUCCCGGCCGGACUCUGGUGGGUGUUGAACUCUUUGGCCCCUCCGGACUCGGGGACGCCCUCCGUGACGACACUUCGGGCUCGCCUGCCUCAUCCGGCGGCGCGUCAGACGGAGGCGUAUCGCUCUCCAUCAUCUCCGGAAGAAGAUCCCCCGAGGAUGAACUCAUCUGAGACGGCUGCAGAUCCGAACUGCGACAUAAAUAUUCCGGUUACCUACAGAAGCGUAAACGAAGGUACUUCCUUAUUAAACUUCCUCUUUCAUACUCACGGCUCGUUGGAGGGCCGGUCCUUGGGCGAUGAUUGCGCGCCCGGAUUCCCUCCGGACGCCGGACCCCCCGGUGGGGAUUUCUUCCCACGCUUAGGGGCUUUGACCUCCGGAUCUUCGGAGGCGGUCCUCUUCUCCCUCUGAAGGGAGGGAUCCUUGGUUCCCUCCUCUUCAGUCGCCCCUUUGGACGAAGUAUUAGCUCCUUUAUCUCCCCCGUCGCCCCCCUCUGUGGGCGCAACCUCCAACAUUCUGACCAGCACGGGCUCCAGUGCGGUCUCUGGGAGGGGGGCCGGACACCUUAUCAGCCUUGAUCGCGCCACCCAUUCCUAUAAAGAACAAAAAGGGUCAGGAGAUGAUCUUUUGAAAGGCAUACAAAUAGAAUGUCCGAGCUCUGAGCUACUUACCUGAGUAUCCGGGCGAUCGCGGCUUAAGCCCGCGUCCUCGGCCGAAUCCGGACACGCUACCUGCGGUCCGAAGAACAGCUUGUACAUCUCCGUGGGUGUCGCGCCCAUAAAAUGCUGGAGAAUACGAGGUCCCUCCGGAUUGAACUCCCAUAGACGGAGAGGACGACGUUUGCAGGGCAGGAGAUGCCUGAUUAGCAUGACUUGCAUCACCUUGACCAGGUCGAUCUCCCCUGUUCGGAGGUCUUGAAUCCGGCCCUGCAGUGCGGGCACGUCCUCGGACGGCCCCCAGUUGAGCCCUUGGUUGACCCACGACAUUAGUUGCCGUGGAGGUCCCGGGCGGAAGGAGGGCGGUGGCUUUUGCUUGCUGCCCCUUGGAGCAGUGAUCUAAAACCACUCCUGCUGCCACAAUCCCUGCUCCUCUUGGAAGGAACCUUCGAGCCACGGGGCAUCGACCUUCUUGCUUAUGGUCGCCCCGCCGCACUCCGCUUGACGCCCCCCGAUCAUCUUCGGCUCCACCUUGAAUGUUUUCAGCCACAGGCCGAAGUGGGGGAUGACGCGGAGGAAGGCUUCGCAGACGAUAAUGAAUGCGGAGAUAUGGAGGAUGGACUCCGGAGCCAAAUCAUGGAAGUCCAGCCCGUAGUAGAAAAGGAGCCCUCUCACAAAGGGAUCCGUCGGGAAGCCUAAUCCCCGACGGAGGUGAGAUGCGAAAACGACGCGCUCGCCGGGCUCGGGGGCUGGCACGGCCUGCCCUGGGGCAGGCAACCUGUGCGAAACUUCGUAGGCCAGGUACUUGGCCUCCCGCAACUUGAAAAUGUCCUCCUCCGUGACGGAGGAGGGCAUCCACCGGCCCUGGAGGUCGGAGCCGGAAAUUGUAUAGGAUCCGAAGCGCUCGAAUCUGAAGCUCGGGGUGUUGGAACUAGGAGCAGAGGAAAGAUUCGAUGCGAGAUUGAAGAACAAGGACAGGCCUUGGUCCUCUUAUAAAGGGGGAAGAAAUACCAAGGCCCGUCUCCGUGACCGUUUGAGAUUCCUGUUCGAUAGAGGAGGCGUGGCGACGGGGACGGUUGGGUUACCCACACACGUAUUGAUGAGGAUCCCGGAAUAAAAGGGAACACGAUCUCUGCUUCGACAGGACGUGCCAAGGAAAUUGCUUCGCUAAACGUGCUGAGGCGGAAUAAUAAAAACGAUUCGAACAAGGGCUUGGCUGCGGUGUGAUGUCACGCCGCAUAAUACGUCAGCAGAUUGAGCUAAGUGUAUAUUUUAUCCUCUCUACGUUGGAGUGUGGAAUUUAUUUUGCAGAGUCGAAUACUAUCCUGGUAUUCAUUAUCUUCUCCGGAUUAUUCAAGGGAGGAACCCGCCUUGCAAUGCCGAACAUUAUGCACGCCGGACUUAUCGUCAUUGAAGACUGGUUAAGGGGCUACUGAGGGAGUCCUGGACUAGGGGGUGUCCGGACAGCCGGACUAUCAAUAUCCGCCGGACUCCCAGACUACGAAGAUAGAAGAUUGAAGACUCCGGCUCGUGUCCGGAAGGUACUUUCCUUGGCGUGGAAGGCAAGCUUGGCAAUACGGAUAUGUAGAUCUCCUACCAUUGUAACCGACUCUGUGUAACCCUAGCCUCUCCGGUGUCUAUAUAAACCGGAGGGCCUUAGUCCGUAGGACAACAUUACAUCUCAACAAUCAUACCAUAGGCUAGCUUCUAGGGUUUAGCCUCCUUGAUCUUGUGGUAGAUCUACUCUUGUACUACCCAUAUCAUCAAUAUUAAUCAAGCAGGACGUAGGGUUUUACCUCCAUCGAGAGGGCCCGAACCUGGGUAAAAACAUUGUGUCCCUCGUCUCCUGUUACCAUCCGCCUAGACGCACAGUUCGGGACCCCCUACCCGAGAUCCGUCGGUUUUGACACCGACAUUCCUCCUUUCCUUCUUUGAAGUACCGGUAGGGGUACGGAAAAGAUUGGAUUUUUAUCGAUCUGGAUUUUUUUGGCAAAUCGACGAAAAUAAAACUAAAUACAGGUUGGCAAAUGGGACACUAUUUGUAGACCGAAGGACCAAGGUGGCUUACCUAUUGAAAACCUUGAAGUGAAAAAUAAGUGAUUACUUAGCAAAUGGUUAUACCGAUUGGCGGUAGAGAGGGAUGGAGUAUGGAUUUAGCUGUUGCAUAAUAAAUAUUUACAUUGUAAAACGUUGGCUCAAGGGACAUCACAUCCAUCCGACUCUCCGUUUUGGAAGGAGCCUAUGAGGACAAAGGUUGCCUUCUUUAACUGGAGUAAGUUUAUUGUAUGGAAUGGACAUGGGACUAGGUUUUGGACGGACACUUGGUUGGGUGAGACUCCACUAGCCUUGCAGUAUCCGUCCUUAUAUAACAUGAAAACAGAAUGAGCGGUCGGUGAAAAUCCAAUGGCUGAAAUGGUUGAGUUGACCAGAUCUGAUGGCCAGGAAUGCCACAAAUCGAGAGCUCACCAUGGAAGCAAGUUGGCUAGGGUCCUUGUAGGUUAGAAUUGCACAACGGAAAAAAGUUUAUGUUGCUAUAGUGUUGUGAUACGUUCUUCUUAACAUUCAGUUCAGAUGGUCGUUAGUGGGUCAAAGAUUGGAUAGAUGGUUGCAUCUCGUGCGCAUGUUAAUGCAGGUAAACUUAUCUGAUGCAGCAGACUCCUUAUUUUGGAAGUUGUCCGCUUUAGGAGAGUUCUUAGUUAAAUCUAUGUAGACAGACUUGAUUAACACCGGGCCCAUCCUGAGGGCGAUCCACAUCUGAAAGAUUAAGGUACCAUUGAAAAUCAAGGUGUUUAUGUGGUUUGUGCAUAAAGGAGUAAUUUUGACAAAAGAUAACUUGGCUAAGUGUAGUUGGGAAGGAAGUAAAAGAUGUUGCUUUUGUGACACAGACGAAACAAUAGAGCAUCUAUUCCUCCAAUGCCCACUUGCUAAAUUAUUGUGGCGAACCAUUCAUGUUGCUUUUAAUAUUGUUCCGCCUCGGUCUCACAUUUAUUUGGGUCUUGGUUAAAUUGGAUAGAGCCCAAAACAGCGACACACAUUUGAGUUGGGGUAUGUGCAUUACUUUGGCUCAUUUGAAAUUAUCGAAACGAUGUUGCCUUUUACAGACAAACCAUCACCAAUUUUUUGCAGGUUAUCUUCAAGGCGUCUACUUGGAUCUGUAUGUGGUCAUUACUCAACCAUGUGGACCACAGGGAGCAUAUAUGGAUAUUGGGUGCAACCGAUGGGAGAUGAUUGCACGGGAUACUUAUAACCGGUUUGGAUGCGGUCCAAUAAUAGGAUAGGUUUUAGUCAUCUUACCCUAUUUUCCUUAGUUGUGGCAAAUUCCUUUUUUGAGACUUGUACUUUUGUUUGAGACUUCGUGUUGAACUUGGAUUAUAAAUAAAAUGGUUGUGUGCAUCAAAAGAUGCAGAGGUCGAGGGUUUUCCUCCUUUUCGAAAAAAAAAUUGUACUCAAGUUGCUCGUCCGGAAAAUCAAGGCUUGUCUACCUCUCUUGUCUUUUCACAUGGAGCGUGUACUGGCCAUACUACUAAGACUAGCCACUAGAAUAAUAAAUUUGGUUUUGCCAAUUCUCACUCCGAUGAGAAUUAACUAAAUCUCACUCAACAACACGGUAUGGAUUUACACGAAGAUUGAUGCAUAUUUUUCUUUUUUUUGUUCCGUUUGAUUGUUUUACAAUUUUUUAUUGUUUUGGCUAGCGAGCAUGCACUACAGUUGUGUGGCCGACUGGCGGAACUUGAUCCAUCAUUUGUAUGUGGCCUUUGAAUUACAUGAUGAGGUCAUUGACAAGGAUGACAAACCAAAUUCCUUUAACAGGAGGUGAAGUUCUACAAACCAUUUUAAUUUUUUAAAAUACUGGCGAUAGAAUAUAUGCAUAAGCUACAUUUGGAAACCAAAUAUAAAAAACAUAAGUCAUCAUGGCACAUCCUAUUACUUGCCAUUCCCAAUGAAUGGUAUUCUCGCCUGUUGAUUUUAGAUAGAAUUGCAACUAAUGUAAUUUCUUGUGCUAUAUUAAUUUGAAUUUUCAAUUCCAUAAUUUUUGGUAUGUCAAUGUGUUAUUUUACACCGGUCAUUGGCAUAUUUUCCAAAAUUAAAAAGUGCAACAAAAAGGUGUACGGAAACAGGGAAAGGAAAAACUGAAAGUGAAAGUUAUAGGGAAAUUAGAUAAAUAUACAAUAAAAUGUCAUAAUUCUACAUGAAAAUACUAAUAUAGCACAAUAAAAUAUAUUAUGUGUAAUAUGAACCUCCCUAAGGCCACAUGUUUAUCUAUCGGUCACUUUGAACAUACUGAAGAUGAUGCUCUCUUUUUUGUGAAUGCCAUCAAGCUAGUUACUAGACCAGAAAAAUAGAGACCAAACGGGUAGAGCACACAAGUAUAGUGAUCCAUGAUAUGCAGCAAAGCAUGUACAACUAGUUAAGAGCAUUUAUAGUCGGGCGUUUCAAACCAAUCUCAAACGACUGGGAUGACCGACACCCCUUAUAUCAAGCCCAAAUCUGAGCAGAUAUGGGGUAGCCCAGGAGCGUCCGCCAUGUUGGACUGAUGACCGGGUCUCACACACGUAAUCGCCCAUAAACCCAACGUUCGAUGGGCGUUUCCUCUGGUGGUGGUUGUAAAAGUGAUUUGGGAAGCGUAGAACCCUUUGUCUCGGGCCGCAUGCAUAUAUUAGGCAGAAGCCUUGGCACACAAGUUUACAGGGGGAGAGAUCAAUCAGAUGGGAUCGAUCAAGUCGUUACAGAAGGAUCGUGAAAGACAGAAGAAGAGAUAGAACAGAAUACAGAAUUUAAACCAACUCUAUCUCUAUAUAACUUCUACUACACUUCUACUAUACGUAUAUUCCAACACUCCCCCUCAAUCUAAACCUCAAGGAGCUUUGCCAAGGUUAAGAUUGUACUUGAAAUCAUUCAACCUCCUUUCAAUAAGGGGUUUUGUAAAACCAUCGGCAAGUUGAUCUCCUGUGGGAAUAAACCGAAUCUCCAGAAGCUUUCGAGCUACUCUUUCUCUGACAAAAUGGAAAUCAACUUCAAUGUGUUUAGUCCGUGCAUGAAAAACAGGAUUUGCUGAGAGAUACGUUGCACCAAUAUUAUCACACCAUAAUCUCGCAGCCUGUGGAGUUUUAACUCCAAGCUCAUAAAGUAAUGUUUGUAUCCACAUUACUUCUGCUGUGGCAUUAGCCAGAGCCUUAUAUUCAGCCUCUGUGCUUGACCUGGACACUGUAGCCUGUUUUCUUGCACUCCAUGACACAAGGUUAGUUCCCAGAAAUACAGCAAAACCACCUGUAGAUCUUCUAUCAUCAGCACAUCCUGCCCAAUCAGCAUCAGAGUAUGCAGUAACAAGCAGAGAAGAGGACUUGGUAAUGUUGAGACCAAGACCUUUUGAGAACUUGAGAUACCUUAAAAUUCUUUUGACUGCAGUCCAAUGUGUGGUUCUAGGUGCAUGUAGAUAUUGACAUACCUUGUUCACUGAAUAAGAUAUAUCAGGACGGGUGAGAGUUAAAUACUGCAAGGCACCUACAACACUCCUAUAAUUUGUUGCAUCCUCUCGUCCAAGAACUUCUCCACUUUCCACUGUAAGCUUCUCAGAGGUAGAAAUCGGUGUGUUAACUGGCUUGCAAUUUUCCAACCCUACUCUCCUGAGAAUAUCAGUUGUAUAUUUUUCCUGUGAGAGAAGUAUGCCAUCUUUAACUUGCUUUACCUCUAUACCAAGAAAAUAAUGAAGAUCACCCAAGUCCUUAAGAGCAAACUCCAGCUUCAGAUCUUUAAGCAAGCAAGUAGUGGCAUCUGAACUUGAACUUGCAACAAUUAUAUCAUCAACAUAAACCAGCACAAAAAUAGUAACAUUGCCUUUGCUAAAGAAGAAUAAUGAGGUAUCUGCCUUGGAUGGUCUGAACCCAAGACGUUGCAACUGCAUACUUAGUCUGGAGUACCAGGCUCUUGGGGCCUGCUUCAAACCAUACAAAGCUUUAUCCAACUUACAGACAUGUUGUGGUGUGCUAGGAUUCUCAUAACCUGGUGGUUGCCGCAUGAACACUUCUUCCUCAAGAACACCAUGAAGAAACGCGUUCUGAACAUCUAGCUGUCUUAAACUCCAUCCUCUGGAAACAACAAUAGACAAGACAAGGCGAAUAGUAGUUGACUUAAUAACAGGACUGUAUGUAUCUUCAUAAUCAAUUCCAAACCUCUGUUUAAACCCUUUGGCAACUAGUCUAGCCUUAUACCUGUCUAUGCUUCCAUCAGACUUUCUUUUGAUUUUGUACACCCAUUUGCAAUCAAUAACAUUGUUUCCAUACUUUGGUGGAAGCAAAUGCCAGGUUUUAUUUUUCAUAAGUGCAUCAUAUUCACUAUCCAUAGCUUCCUUCCAAUUCUUAUUAUCAAGAGCAUCAUCCAAACUUAGUGGUUCACCAGUGGUGGUAAGAAAAGCACGUUUGAUUUUGUCAUACCUUAUUGUACCAUCAUUGUACUUUUUUUCCUUGAUGGUACCUGACCUGGACCGUGUUUGCCGAGGAGAAACCACUACUAGGGAAAAGCCUAGCAGCAGCGCGGGUUUGGGCCCUCUCAGUAGCGCGGGUACCGGCGCUACUAAUAAGGCGCUACAGCUAACGUAUAGCAGUAGCGCGUGCUGACACACGCUACUGCUACACAUGAAUAGCUGCAGCGCUGUUUAGAAAAGGACGCUACUGGUAUUAUCUGCAGUGCUGUUUUGGUGUAAGCGCUAAUGGUAAGUCGGCGCUACUGCUAAAUCCCCCCCUCGCUACUACUAGUUUUAUUAGUUUUUUUUCCCUGCAGAUUUGUUUUUUAUUUGUUUUGCAUUUGAAUAGGCUUUAUACAAUAAUCUUUAGCAUAUCAUCCACAUACAAAUGUAAUCAUAGCAUAUACAUACAAUUAGUCUCAUCAAAUCAUGUCAUCAUCAUAAUCAUCAUCCAACACAAAGUGGUCUCUCGUCAUCAAUCUCGAAAAUAGCGAUACAAGUCUCGAUUACUUGCAAAUACAUCAUCAUCCAUCUAAAUAAUGAUAUACAUGAGAAUAGCUAUCACUUUGAGUACAUGAGUUCGUAUCCCUCUCUCGCAUUAGCGUGAACCUAAACUAAGUACUGCGUGUCGCUCGGAAACCGAAAACCGGUACACCUGGGCCUGACACUCCGGCCACUUGUCGUAUAUAUACUCCUGGCGUAGCACUUCUUCGCCAUUUAUGAUCUAUGCACCUGCAUCGUCACAUGAGUCGAUGAUAUGCAACAUAUAUAGUUGAGCAACACAAAGAGAUAGACUUGGCAAAAAUAGAAACAACAUAUCAUAAGCAUAAAUAACAAAGUUCAUCGUACCGAAAUGACCUAACUAGAGUGAUUUUCGCUAGUCGAGGAGGACGGUUUAAUUACAUCACAAAUAAAGUUUCACCGUGCAUAACUCAAAGUUUUGUCAUAAAAGAAACUAUGGACUAAACGGACACAUUGUCAUAUAUCGACAAUCACUCCAUCAUGUCGUGCCAUCCAUCCAAGUCAGGGAGAUAGUCAUCGAGCUUUGUGAAAGGCUUCAUGUCGAGACGCUGAGAGGCUAUCCAUGUUCGGACGUCUUCCCGCGACAUUUGUCCUUCUGCAUGGAACAUCCCUGUUUUUCCGACGACCUCAUUCAUGAUGAUUUGGGCAAGUUCGCACUGGAUGUUAUAGAACUCAGCUCAAAGUCGAUGAUCCUCGAUAUCUCCUAUGUCCUUUGCCCAUUGCAGAAUAUGGGCAUCGCUAGAUCUAGGUGCCAUGUGUAGGUUCUGGUGAUCCCGUCGGUACUCCAGCAUGUGGUGUAGGACAUAGAAUCCAUCAUUAAGAGAAUCGUUCGGUUGCUGGAUGCAGCAGAAGUCGGUCUUAUGGCUGAAGGCGUGCCUGCCGCCCCUUUUCUUCUUGUCCCUAACCUCUCCACCCCUUGCUUGGUAGUAAAACAUAGCAUUGUCGAGAACAUCUUUGAUGUGGGUGUAAUCCUUUUUGUGAAUGUUCUUCGACGAGUCCAAGUAAAGAGCGUGGGAGAAUCAGGGGUAGAGGAUGAUGAGGACGGCGCGCCCGCCGCUGCGCAAAAUAAGUACACCUUAAAUUAAUUAGCCUCCACCGUGCAAAUGAAUUAUUGAAAUCGAAGGAAGGAUAGCAGCGCAGAUGACUUACACGGGAUGAUAAGGCACGAGAAUCGCCUCCUUGUCCUUAUUGGCGAGCAUGAAACUGACGAUGUAAUCCCUCGCGUAUUCACGAUGAUGUGCACAGACUCCCAAGAAGGCCUCGUGCAUGUAGUACGGGUCAGCGACACGGAUAUGAGCUAUCUGCUCAACCCCAAUGAUGUAGCUCAUGUGCAAGGCAUAAAGGUGGACAAAAGUAAAAUCCAGCUUCUUCACGUGAAACAUGUCGAAUAUGUAAUCGAAUCGGAGGAAGAACUUAUCCGCGGGGAAGCCAUUGACGUACGACAUUUGCUACGGAACGUUAACCACGUAGAGUGGGUAUCCUGGAUCUUUCGAGGCGAUGAGGCCUUUCUCUACCCGCAGCACAUCGUCAUGAAGUCUCCUUAGAUCGCCGAAUCUGGCCCGUAGCGCUGUUUCAGGUAGGAUUGGUUUACCCGGGAUAUGCCACUUAUCCGCAUCGGGGAUAUCUACACGGUCCCGAAGCCGAGGCUGCUGAGGCGGCUGGAUCAUAGAAUCAGCUUUUUUGCCUUUCCUCGCUCUCUUCCUAGGCUUCUUUACCACUGGAUGGUCGUCAAUAACACGUUGAGACGGUAAUUCAGGCACCGACUCAUGAUGCUCAAACCCUGAGGAGGCGCCAGUAUAGACAUACUGUUCAGCGCCAUCGUCAUCCUCAUCCUCAUCCAUGGUGACAUCAUCAGCCUAAUGGAGCCACCUGCUUACCCCGUCCGCUAUCACCCAACCCGACACCCGACGCUAAUUGGGUAGGUGGGGUGUUGAUGUUCAUACCUUGCUGAAGCUGCGUGCUCGUGGGUGUGCUCCCGGCCGCCUCCAGACGAAGCAGACUCUUUGGCCACAACAGGACCCACCCAUUGCAACAAUCACCAAGCCGCCGAGGGGUCUCGUCGUCAUCCCCCACUAGUAUUAGAGGAGGCAAAUUCUCGUGGCCCGGUUUGACACUGGCCACGGAAACCUUGAAGACGUUCGGGGGGAUCGACCGGCUGUGGAACAAUGGUUCCUUCGGCUCCAUUAUCGUCCCCUUCCCCACGUCCACCUUCUGUUCGCUGAUGGUGUACAAUAUGGUGCACGGGGUUUCGUCGACCUGCAAAUAAAAGUCUGCGACGUGAGACAUCCGAAAGGCAACGAAAACGGGAGAUUAUACAUUUAUAUUGAAGGGGGCCGGUGUGGAAGAUACCGUGAGGGCGUCGAGCUCAGCCAAAGAGGAGGCACCACCGAGCACGUCCGGUGCGGCAGCCGGUGCGGGAGCCGGUGCGGGAGCAGGUGCGGGAGCCGGUGCGGGAGCAGGUGCGGGAGCCGGUGCGGGAGCAUGUGCUGCCAAGAAGUCAGCAAGGGGAAAGUCCUCUGCAUUUUUUUGGAUUUUCCCUUGUCCAAGUGUGAACGCCCGUCACCAAGGAAGUAGAUAUAUCUGCAAUCGCCUGUUUUGCGGCAGCUACCGCUGUUGCGACUGUCUGAGAUGAUUUCUUCUCAACCGCAAUCUCAACCUUCUUGUCGAUGCUUUCUUCAGUUAACCUCCGUCUUUCCUUUUUCUCCUCCGUGGUCUCACGGUAGUACUUCUUCCACGUGGCGCCGUCUCCGACACCGUGCACGCGUCCAUACGACGGUCGAGUAUCCACCGGUUAUCGUUUCAAUAUGUUCAACGCCCGGUUGAAUGGAGUGUCCCACUUGGGCCUCGCCAAUGCCUCAGACGGUGAGUCGCUUUCGGCCGCAAUCCGGUGUUGCUCUCUCUGCAAAAGGCACAAGGAUCGUUUACAAAUAUGACUAACGUGUGCAGUCGAAUUGAUGAGAAACUAAAAUUACCAGCAGUCUCAUGAACUCCGUAAUGACCGGUGUUGUCUCAUAAACCUUCUUCAGUGGGUCCCAACGGUGGCGGGCCCUCAGGACGUCACGCUCCUGCGGGACGGUGAAAUCCGCCAAGGGGUCUGGGAUGCCCAGACUCGCGGCUUCCGCGUCCUCCUUGGCCCAUUUGGACCUCUUUCCGCCGUAACCACGGCUUCCGAGGUGGUGGGUCCCAAUGUUCCUCUUUUGAAGCCCCUUCAUGUACUUAGACUUUUCUUUGGCAGCUUCGGCCUCGCAAGCCUCCUUGAAUAUUUGAAACUGCUCUUCCGUGAUUGUCGGACUUUCCUUUACAAUCUCGGAGUAGGGUUCCCCGUCGUUGAUCUUUGCUUUCACUCGAUUUUUCCAGGCGGCCAACGCGUUGCUAAACUUGGUCAUGGCGUGUUUGUUUAUCUUCUUCAUUGCCGGGUCAUUGUCUGGAUCUUCAUAAUCCUUCUCAUUCCGGCCCGGGAACAAGAAUAUUUGGUGAAACUUCUUUAGGAGGGAGCUCCUCAUAUUUUCUACCUUCUUUAGAUUCUCAUCGUUGAUGGUGGCGGUUGUCCGUAUGAUGCAGCCUAUUUGAUUGCCGUAGCACGCGCGCGCUUCCUCGGGCGCCUUUGGCUCAAAAUUGCCGUUGUCCACCUCGGUGACCACCAGUCUAGUAGUCCUGAGUUUGUUAGGAACCCGUUGCCUCUUCGCUUUCGGUGCUACACCGGAUCCGCUCCCUGAGGCAGCACCGGUCUCAGCGCCGGUCUCGAUGCCGGUCUGAAUCUCAGCGCCGGUGUCAGUCUCAGCACCGGUCUGCGUAUCGGUCUCAGCACCGGUCUGCGUGUCAGUCUCAGUCCCCGAUGCCGGGCCCAGCAACAACAUCUGUUGAUCGUCGGUAAAGCUAAAAAAUUCGUCUGCCGCCCGGUAGACGUCGUCACAAUCACCAGAACCCUGUCCUUCAUCGUUGCUAGCCAUGUUUCCUAUGAUUAAAUCUAGUCAAUUAAUUCUAGACCUAAUAAAAUGAAUAAUGACAUAAAAAAGGACUAUUGUUUUGCAGGAAUGUUGACUCCUUCUUGGUGCGGCAAAUCCCGGGCACUCGAUAUGUCCUAGUUUGUAGCACAAGUCAUGCCGAAAUUCACGGGAAAUUUCGGCAUGACCUUUGCUAAAAAGUGGACAAAUCGAGAACCUGAAAUUUGCCGGAACAGAAAUGAAUCAACAUUCCGGCAAAACACAGGCCACUCAGCAUCAUUCCCUGGAAACAACAAAGCCACCACUUGGGCACAAUCGAACAACUUCAAUGAAAAGAUAUAACAUGACCACUUCAAUGAAAAAUAAAAUUUGCCUAAAUUCUUUUCCUUGAAAAAUAGUGGUCUUUUGAAAAAUCAAAAACCUUUGCCAAUCUACUUAACCUAGCUUCUUAAUCCAACGAACCUAAUUAACCUACCUAUUUAACCUAGUUAGUUAAUCUAGUUUACCUAGAUAAUUAACCCUAAUUAAACUAGUUAACGCAGCUAGUUCUCUGUCAAAGCCUAAAAUAAAUUUUUGCACUAAUUAACAUGGAUAAUUAACCUAAUUAAACUAGUUAACCUGACUAGUUCUCUGUCAAAGCCCUAACUAAGUUUUUGCACUAACCUAGAUAAUUAACCUAAUUAAACUAGUUAACCUAACUACUUCUCUGUCAAUGCCCUAACUAAAUUUUUGCCCUAACCUAGAUAAUUAACCUAAUUAAAAACUGGCUAACCUAUGCAUGAGAGAGAGAGGAGGGGUGGGGGCUUACACAUGAUGGCUCCGGUGGUGGCGACGGAGACAGUGUGGUGGCGAGGGAGGCAGGGGCGUCUCCGGUGACGGCGAGGGAGGCAGGGGCGUCUCCGGUGACGGCGAGGAAGGUGGCGUCGACGGUGGCUCCGGUGGCGUUGACGAGGCCGCGCGGCUCCAUGGCGUUGGGGGCGGCUCCGGUGUCGUCGACGGCGCACGGCUCUGGUGCGCGUCGUCGGCGGCGGCGAAGUGUGGGGCGACGAAUCGGGGAGACGGCAGCGCGCGCGCGGGGUGGGUUUGAGGGAUUUGGGGGAAGUGGUGGCCGGGGGGGGGACGGUUUUUUGGCUAAGUCAAACUUAGCGGUAGCGCGUUUCGCAAAACGCGCUAUAGCUAAGUUAGCUAUAGCGCUUUCCUCAAAACGCGCUGCUGCUAUAGCUAAUUUCCUAUUCUGUUUCUAUAGCGGGGGUCUAGGGCACGCGCUGCAGCUACGUUAGCUGUAGCGCCUCUUACAAACAAACGCUGCUGCUAUGCCUUCCUCUGAUUUUUCACUUUUUCGUUUAUUUUGCUUUACAUUUUAUUUUUCCCUUUCUCCUUUUUCUAUUUCUUCCAUUUUCAUUUAAAUUUCUAUUUGUUUAUCAUCUUAUUUUCUUUCCGUUAGUAGUAGCGCUCUUCCCUGGAAACACGCUGCUAACUGUGCUCUAGCAGUAGCGCGUUUCUGUUAAGCUCGCUACUGCUAUGCGUAGCCUAGCAUUCUGCCAAUGGGAAUAUUAGUAGUAGCGCUUUUUUUACAAUAGGCGCUACUGCUAAAUUUGUGUCUGUAGCGCAGUUUUUAAUAGCUCGCUACUGCUAUAUAGCACUAGCGCAGUUUUUUGAACCGCGCUGCUGCUAAGAUUCUGUGUAUAGCCUUUUCCCUAGUAGUGAACCGUAGGCAGCACAGGAGAAAUCACCGCCACAGAAGAUCCAGCCGGCGCAUGAUCCGAGGCGGAUCCGUGCGACAGCUCGGCUGGCUCGGGCUCCAGAUCCGAGGAAGAUUCGCGCAGCGCAGGCGCCGAAUCAGCGCGCGUUGAUUCCUCCACCGCCGUGGGCCCAUGCGACGUGGGGUCCGCCCCACAUGCACGCGCACGAUCGGUUGCGUCCGCCGAUGCACUCCCCCCGGUACGCGGGCUGUCAGCGCGUGGGGACCCGGCGGCUGACGACGCAGCAUGAUUGGCUCGGGGCGACGCCGUGGGUCCGGUGGGCUCCACCCUAUCAGCCCGGUCGGCCACCAGCCCGGAUGAGGCCAGGCGCACGGGCGGAUCCGCUUGGGAUCGCACGCCGCCAGGUGCGGCAGUCUGGGCGGGCGUAUCGGCCUCGGAUCGCCCGCUGGCAGCCGAAUCUGCCUCGGGUUCCGUGACCUGCCUGUCUUUUCCUUCACACAUAAAAUCACAGGGUAAAGUUGCACAAAUAACAUCAGCAGAAUCAGAUUUUUCAUGGGAUUUUUGCAUAUGAUCUCGUUCAUUUAAUUCCCCCUCACUAUCAUAUAAUGUUGCUGAAGGAAAUAUGCCCUAGAGGCAAUAAUAAAGUUAUUAUUUAUUUCCUUAUUUCAUGAUAAAUGUUUAUCAUUCAUGCUAGAAUUGUAUUAACCGGAAACAUGAUACAUGUGUGAAUGCAUAGACAAACAAAAUGUCACUAGUAUGCCUCUACUAGACUAGCUUGUUAAUCAAAGAUGGUUAUGUUUCCUAACCAUGAACAAAGAGUUGUUAUUUGAUUAACAAGGUCACAUCAUUAGUAGAAUGAUCUGAUUGACAUGACCCAUUCCAUUAGCUUAGCACACGAUCGUUUAGUAUGUUGCUACUGCUUUUAUCCAUGACAUAUACAUGUUCCUGUAACUAUGAGAUUAUGCAACUCCCGUUUACCGGAGGAACACUUUGGGUGCUACCAAACGUCACAACGUAACUGGGUGAUUAUAAAGGAGUACUACAGGUGUCUCCAAAGGCAGAUGUUGGGUUGGCGUAUUUCGAGAUUAGGUUUUGUCACUCCGAUUGUCGGAGAGGUAUCUCUGGGCCCUCUCGGUAAUACACAUCACUGAAGCCUUGCAAGCAUUACAACUAAUGAGUUAGCUGUGAGAUGAUGUAUUACGGAACGAGUAAAGAGACUUGCCGGUAACGAGAUUAAACUAGGUAUUGGAUACUGAGGAUCGAAUCUCGGGCAAGUAACAUACCGAUGACAAAGGGAACAACGUAUGUUGUUAUGCGGUCUGACUGAUAAAGAUCUUCGUAGAAUAUGUAGGAACCAAUAUGGGCAUCCAGGUCCCGCUAUUGGUUAUUGACCGGAGAUGUGUCUCGGUCAUGUCUACAUUGUUCUCGAACCGUAGGGUCCGCACGCUUAAGGUUUCGAUGACGGUUAUAUUAUGAGUUUGUGUAUUUUGAUGUACCGAAGAAGUUCGGAGUCUCGGAUGUGAUCACGGACAUGACGAGGAGUCUCGAAAUGGUCGAGACAUAAAGAUUGAUAUAUUGGAAGCCUAUAUUUGGAGUUCGGAAUGAUUCCGGGUGAAAUCGGGAUUUUACCGGAACACCGGGGGGUUACCGGAACCCUCCCGGAGGCUAUUGGGCCUUAGUGGGCCACGAGGGAGAAGAGGAAGGGCCGGCCAGGGCAGGCCGCGCGCCCCCUCCCCCCCUAGUCCGAAUAGGAUAAGGAGAGGGGGGCGGCGCCCCCCCUUCCCUCUUCCCCUCCCCCAAUCCUACUCCAACUAGGAAAGGGGGGAGUCCUACUCCCGGUGGGAGUAGGACUCCUCCGGCGCGCCUCCUCCAAGGGCCGGCCGCACCCCCCCUUGCUCCUUUAUAUACGGGGGCAGGGGGGCACCCUAGAACACACAAGUUUGAUCUACGGAUCGUUCCUUAGCCGUGUGCGGUGCCCCCCUCCACCAUAUUCCACCUCGGUCAUAUCGUUGCGAAGCUUAGGCGAAGCUCUGUGCCGGUAGAACAUCAAGAUCGUCACCACGCCGUCGUGCUGACGAAACUCUCCCUCCCCGAAGCUCUACUGGAUUGGAGCCCGAGGAGCGUCAUCGAGCUGUACGUGUGUCAAGAACUCGGGGGCGUCGGAGUAACGGCGCCGGGAUCGGUCGGAUCGCGAGGAGAUCGUACGACUACUUCCUCUACGUUGUGAUCGCUUCCGCUUCGGUCUACGAGGGUACGUAGACAACACUCUCCCCUCUCGUUGCUAUGCAUCACCAUGAUCUUGCGUGUGCGUAGGAAAUUUUUUGAAAUUACUACGUUCCCCAACAGUGGCAUCCGAGCCUAGGUUUUUAUGGUUUGAUGUUUUGCACGAGUAGAACACAAGUGAGUUGUGGGCGAUACAUGUCAUACUACCUACCAGCAUGUCAUACUUUGGUUCAGCUGUAUUGUGAGAUGAAGCGGCCCGGACCGACAUUACGCGUACGCUUACGCGAGACUGGUUUCACCGCUACGAUCACUCGUUGCUUAAAGGUGACUGGCGGGUGUCUGUCUCUCUCACUUUAGUUGAACCGAGUGUGGCUACGCCCGGUCCUUGAGAAGGUUAAAACGGAGUCUAUUUGACAAAGUAUCGUUGUGGUUUUGAUGCAUAGGUGAGAUUGGUUCUUGCUUAAGCCCGUAGCAGCCACGUAAAAUUUGCAACAACAAAGUAGAGGACGUCUAACUUGUUUUUGCAGGGCAUGUUGUGAUGUGAUAUGGUCAAGACGUGAUGCUAUAUUUUAUUGUAUGAGAUGAUCAUGUUUUGUAACCGAAGUCAUCGGCAACUGGCUGGAGCCAUAUGGUUGUCGCUUUAUUGUAUGCAAUGCAAUCGCCCUGUAAUGCUUUAAUUUAUCACUAAGCGGUAGCGAUAGUCGUAGAAGCAUAAGAUUGGCGAGACGACAACGAUGCUACGAUGGAGAUCAAGGUGUCGCGCCGGUGACGAUGGUGAUCAUGGUGGUGCUGCAGAGAUGGAGAUCACGAAGCACAAGAUGAUGAUGACCAUAUCAUAUCACUUAUAUUGAUUUGCAUGUGAUGUUUAUCUUUUAUGCAUCUUAUCUUGCUCUGAUUGACGGUAGCAUUAUAAGAUGAUCUCUCACUAAAUUAUCAAGAAGUGUUCUCCCUGAGUAUGCACCGUUGCCAAAGUUCGUCGUGCCCAGACACCACGUGAUGAUCGGGUGUGAUAAGCUCUACGUCCAUCUACAACGGGUGCAAGCCAGUUUUGCACACGCAGAAUACUCAGGUUAUACUUGACGAGCCUAGCAUAUGCAGAUAUGGCCUCGGAACACGGAGACCGAAAGGUCGAGCGUGAAUCAUAUAGUAGAUAUGAUCAACAUAAGAUGUUCACCAUUGAAAACUACUCCAUUUCACGUGAUGAUCGGUUAUGGUUUAGUUGAUUUGGAUCACGUGAUCACUUAGAUGACUAAGAGAGAUGUCUGUCUAAGUGGGAGUUCUUUAGUAAUAUGAUUAACUGAACUUAAAUUUAUCAUGAACUUAGUACCUGAUAGUAUCUUGCUUGUUUAUGUUUGAUUGUAGAUAGAUGGCUCGUGCUGUUGUUCCGUUGAAUUUUAAUGCGUUCCUUGAGAAAGCAAAGUUGAAAGAUGAUGGUAGCAAUUACACGGACUGGGUCCGUAACUUGAGGAUUAUCCUCAUUGCUGCACAGAAGAGUUACGUCCUGGAUGCACCGCUAGGUGCCAGGCCUGCUGCAGGAGCAACACCAGAUGUUGUGAACGUCUGGCAGAGCAAAGCUGAUGACUACUCUAUAGUUCAGUGUGCCAUGCUUUACGGCUUAGAACCGGGACUUCAACGACGUUUUGAACGUCAUGGAGCAUAUGAGAUGUUCCAGGAGUUGAAGUUGAUAUUCCAACAGAAUGCCCGGAUUGAGAGAUAUGAAGUCUCCAAUAAGUUCUAUAGCUGCAAGAUGGAGGAGAAUAGUUCUGUUAGUGAGCACAUACUCAGAAUGUCUGGGUACUACAAUCACUUGACACAAUUGGGAGUUAAUCUUCCGGAUGAUUGUGUCAUUGACAGAAUUCUUCAAUCACUGCCACCAAGCUACAAAGGCUUCGUGAUGAACUAUAAUAUGCAAGGGUUAGUAAAGACUAUACCUGAGCUCUUCGCAAUGCUAAAGGUUGCGGAGGUAGAAAUCAAGAAGGAGCAUCAAGUGUUGAUGAUCAAUAAGACCACCAGUUUCAAGAAGAAAGGCAAAGGGAAGAAGAAGGGGAACUUCAAGAAGAACAGCAAGCAAGUUGCUGCUCAGGAGAAGAAACCCAAGUCUGGACCCAAACCUAAAACUGAGUGUUUCUACUGCAAGCAGACUGGUCACUGGAAGCGGAACUGCCCCAAGUAUUUGGCGGAUAAGAAGGAUGGCAAGGUGAACAAAGGUAUAUGUGAUAUACAUGUCAUUGAUGUGUACCUUACUAGAGCUCGCAGUAGCACCUGGGUAUUUGAUACUGGUUCUGUUGCUAAUAUUUGCAACUCGAAACAGGGACUACGGAUUAAGCGAACACUGGCAAAGGACGAGGUGACGAUGCGCGUGGGAAAUGGUUCCAAAGUCGAUGUGAUCGCGGUCGGCACGCUACCUCUACAUCUACCUUCGGGAUUAGUUUUAGACCUAAAUAAUUGUUAUUUGGUGCCUGCGUUGAGCAUGAACAUUAUAUCUGGAUCUUGUUUGAUGCGAGACGGUUAUUCAUUUAAAUCAGAGAAUAAUGGUUGUUCUAUUUAUAUGAGUAAUAUCUUUUAUGGUCAUGCACCCUUGAAGAGUGGUCUAUUUUUGAUGGAUCUCGAUAGUAGUGAUACACAUAUUCAUAAUGUUGAAACCAAAAGAUGCAGAGUUGAUAAUGAUAGUGCAACUUAUUUGUGGCACUGCCGUUUAGGUCAUAUCGGUGUAAAGCGCAUGAAGAAACUCCAUACUGAUGGACUUUUGGAGUCACUUGAUUAUGAAUCACUUGGCACUUGCGAACCGUGCCUCAUGGGCAAGAUGACUAGAACCCCGUUCUCCGGUACUAUGGAGAGAGCAACAGAUUUGUUGGAAAUCAUACAUACAGAUGUAUGUGGUCCGAUGAAUGUUGAGGCUCGUGGCGGAUAUCGUUAUUUUCUCACCUUCACAGAUGAUUUAAGCAGAUAUGGGUAUAUCUACUUAAUGAAACAUAAGUCUGAAACAUUUGAAAAGUUCAAAGAAUUUCAGAGUGAAGUUGAAAAUCAUCGUAAUAAGAAAAUUAAAUUUCUACGAUCUGAUCGUGGAGGUGAAUAUUUGAGUUACGAGUUUGGUCUACAUUUAAAACAAUGCGGAAUAGUUUCGCAACUCACGCCACCCGGAACACCACAGCGUAAUGGUGUGUCCGAACGUCGUAAUCGUACUUUACUAGAUAUGGUGUGAUCUAUGAUGUCUCUUACAGAUUUACCGCUAUCGUUUUGGGGUUAUGCUCUAGAGACGGCCGCAUUCACACUGAAUAGAACACCGUCAAAAUCCGUUGAGACGACACCUUAUGAACUAUGGUUUAGCAAGAAACCAAAGUUGACGUUUCUUAAAGUUUGGGGAUGUGAUGCUUAUGUGAAAAAGCUUCAACCUGAUAAGCUCGAACCCAAAUCGGAGAAAUGUGUCUUCAUAGGAUACCCAAAGGAGACAGUUGGGUACACCUUCUAUCACAGAUCCGAAGGCAAGACAUUUGUUGCCAAGAAUGGAUCCUUUCUAGAGAAGGAGUUUCUCUCGAAAGAAGUGAGUGGGAGGAAAGUAGAACUUGAUGAGGUAAUUGUACCUUCUCCCUUACUUGAAAGUAGUUUGUCGCAGAAACCGGUUUCUAAGACAUCUACACCAAAUAGUGAGGAAGUUGAUGAUGUUGAUCAUGAAACUUCAGAUCAAGUUACUACAGAACCUCGUAGAUCAACCAGAGUAAGAUCCGCACCAGAGUGGUACGGUAAUCCUGUUCUGGAAAUCAUGCUACUAGAUCAUGAUGAACCUACGAACUAUGAAGAAGCGAUGGUGAGCCCAGAUUCCGCAAAAUGGCUUGAGGCCAUGAAAUCUGAGAUGGGAUCCAUGUAUGAAAACAAAGUAUGGACUUUGGUUGACUUGCCCGAGGGUCGGCAAGCAAUAGAAAACAAGUGGAUCUUCAAGAAGAAGACUGACGCUGACGGUAAUGUUACUGUCUACAAAGCUCGACUUGUCGCAAAGGGUUUUCGACAAGUUCAAGGGAUUGACUACGAUGAGACCUUCUCACCCGUAGCGAUGCUUAAGUCUGUCCGAAUCAUGUUAGCAAUUGCCGCAUUUUAUGAUUAUGAAAUUUGGCAAAUGGAUGUAAAGACUGCAUUCCUGAAUGGAUUUCUGGAAGAAGAGUUGUAUAUGAUGCAACCAGAAGGUUUUAUCAAUCCAAAGGGAGCUAACAAAGUGUGCAAGCUCCAGCGAUCCAUUUAUGGACUGGUGCAAGCAUCUCGGAGUUGGAAUAAACGCUUUGAUAGUGUGAUCAAAGCAUUUGGGUUCAUACAGACUUUUGGAGAAGCCUGUAUUUACAAGAAAGUGAGUGGGAGCUCUGUAGCAUUUCUGAUAUUAUAUGUAGAUGACAUAUUAUUGAUCGGAAAUGAUAUAGAAUUUCUGGAUAGCAUAAAGGGAUACUUGAAUAAGAGUUUUUCAAUGAAAGACCUCGGUGAAGCUGCUUACAUAUUGGGCAUUAAGAUCUAUAGAGAUAGAUCAAGACGCUUAAUUGGACUUUCACAAAGCACAUACCUUGACAAAAUUUUGAAGAAGUUCAAAAUGGAUCAAGCAAAGAAAGGGUUCUUGCCUGUGUUACAAGGUGUGAAGUUGAGUAAGACUCAAUGUCCGACCACUGCAGAAGAUAGAGAGAAAAUGAAAGAUGUUCCCUAUGCUUCAGCCAUAGGCUCUAUCAUGUAUGCAAUGCUGUGUACCAGACCUGAUGUGUGCCUUGCUAUAAGCUUAGCAGGGAGGUACCAAAGUAAUCCAGGAGUGGAUCACUGGACAGCGGUCAAGAACAUCCUGAAAUACCUGAAAAGGACUAAGGAUAUGUUUCUCGUAAUGGAGGUGACAAAGAGCUCAACGUAAACGGUUACGUUGAUGCAAGCUUUGACACAGAUCCGGACGAUUCUAAAUCGCAGACCGGAUACGUAUUUACACUAAACGGAGGAGCUGUCAGUUGGUGCAGUUCUAAACAAAGCGUCGUAGCGGGAUCUACAUGUGAAGCGGAGUACAUAGCAGCUUCGGAAGCAGCUAAUGAAGGAGUCUGGAUGAAGGAGUUCAUAUCCGAUCUAGGUGUCAUACCUAGUGCAUCGGGUCCAAUGAAAAUCUUCUGUGACAAUACUGGAGCAAUUGCCUUAGCAAAGGAAUCCAGAUUUCACAAGAGGACCAAGCACAUCAAAAGACGCUUCAAUUCCAUCCGGGAUUUAGUCCAGGUGGGAGACAUAGAGAUUUGCAAGAUACACACGGAUCUGAAUGUAGCAGACCCGUUGACUAAGCCUCUUCCACGAGCAAAACAUGAUCAACACCAAGACUCCAUGGGUGUUAGAAUCAUUACUAUGUAAUCUAGAUUAUUGACUCUAGUGCAAGUGGGAGACUGAAGGAAAUAUGCCCUAGAGGCAAUAAUAAAGUUAUUAUUUAUUUCCUUAUUUCAUGAUAAAUGUUUAUCAUUCAUGCUAGAAUUGUAUUAACCGGAAACAUGAUACAUGUGUGAAUGCAUAGACAAACAAAAUGUCACUAGUAUGCCUCUACUAGACUAGCUUGUUAAUCAAAGAUGGUUAUGUUUCCUAACCAUGAACAAAGAGUUGUUAUUUGAUUAACAAGGUCACAUCAUUAGUAGAAUGAUCUGAUUGACAUGACCCAUUCCAUUAGCUUAGCACACGAUCGUUUAGUAUGUUGCUACUGCUUUUAUCCAUGACAUAUACAUGUUCCUGUAACUAUGAGAUUAUGCAACUCCCGUUUACCGGAGGAACACUUUGGGUGCUACCAAACGUCACAACGUAACUGGGUGAUUAUAAAGGAGUACUACAGGUGUCUCCAAAGCCAGAUGUUGGGUUGGCGUAUUUCGAGAUUAGGUUUUGUCACUCCGAUUGUCAGAGAGGUAUCUCUGGGCCCUCUCGGUAAUACACAUCACUGAAGCCUUGCAAGCAUUACAACUAAUGAGUUAGCUGUGAGAUGAUGUAUUACGGAACGAGUAAAGAGACUUGCCGGUAACGAGAUUAAACUAGGUAUUGGAUACUGACGAUCGAAUCUCGGGCAAGUAACAUACCAAUGACAAAGGGAACAACGUAUGUUGUUAUGCGGUCUGACCGAUAAAGAUCUUCGUAGAAUAUGUAGGAACCAAUAUGGGCAUCCAGGUCCCGCUAUUGGUUAUUGACCGGAGACGUGUCUCGGUCAUGUCUACAUUGUUCUCGAACCGUAGGGUCCGCACGCUUAAGGUUUCGAUGACGGUUAUAUUAUGAGUUUGUGUAUUUUGAUGUACUGAAGAAGUUCGGAGUCUCGGAUGUGAUCACGGACAUGACGAGGAGUCUCGAAAUGGUCGAGACAUAAAGAUUGAUAUAUUGGAAGCCUAUAUUUGGAGUUCGGAAUGAUUACGGGUGAAAUCGGGAUUUUACCGGAACACCGGGGGGUUACCGGAACCCUCCCGGAGGCUAUUGGGCCUUAGUGGGCCACGAGGGAGAAGAGGAAGGGCCGGGCAGGGCAGGCCGCGCGCCCCCUCCCCCCUAGUCCGAAUAGGACAAGGAGAGGGGGGCGGCGCCCCCCCUUCCCUCUUCCCCUCCCCCAAUCCUACUCCAACUAGGAAAGGGGGGGGAGUCCUACUCCCGGUGGGAGUAGGACUCCUCCGGCGCGCCUCCUCCAAGGGCCGGCCGCACCCCCCCUUGCUCCUUUAUAUACGGGGGCAGGGGGGCACCCUAGAACACACAAGUUUGAUCUACAGAUCGUUCCUUAGCCGUGUGCGGUGCCCCCCUCCACCAUAUUCCACCUCGGUCAUAUCGUUGCGAAGUUUAGGCGAAGCUCUGCGCCGGUAGAACAUCAAGAUCGUCACCACACCGUCGUGCUGACGAAACUCUCCCUCCCCGAAGCUCUACUGGAUUGGAGCCCGAGGAGUGUCAUCGAGCUGUACGUGUGUCAAGAACUCGGGGGCGUCGGAGUAACGGCGCCGGGAUCGGUCGGAUCGCGAGGAGAUCGUACGACUACUUCCUCUACGUUGUGAUCGCUUCCGCUUCGGUCUACGAGGGUACGUAGACAACACUCUCCCCUCUCGUUGCUAUGCAUCACCAUGAUCUUGCGUGUGCGUAGGAAAUUUUUUGAAAUUACUACGUUCCCCAACAGUUGCGGGAUCAGAGAGAAGGGCAAUCUCUGCACGAAGCAAGGCGCCGGCAUUAGGAUGCAAUUUGGAAAACGGAAAGAGUGUCUCAUCAAAAACAACAUCACGUGAAAUAUAGAUGCGUCUGGUAGAGAUUUCAAGGCACUUAUAACCUUUAUGAAGAUUACUAUAGCCAAGAAAGACACACUGUGUGGAUCUAAACUCAAGUUUAUGACGGUUGUAGGGACGCAAAUUUGGGUAGCAAGCACACCCAAAUAUCUUGAGAUAGUUGUAAUCAGGUUUUUGAUGAUAGAGACGCUCUAAAGGAGUAGUGUUUCCAAUAACUUUGCUAGGGAGCCUAUUGAUAAGAUAGGUGGCAGUAAUGAAAGCUUCGUCCCAAUACUUGAGAGGCAUAGAAGCAUGGGCUAACAGAGAAAGACCAACUUCAACGAUGUGGCGGUGUUUACGCUCAGCAGAGCCAUUCUGUUGAUGAGCAUGGGGGCAAGAUACAUGAUGGACAAUCCCAAUACUGCGGAAAAAAGAGUGAAGUUUCUCAUACUCCCCUCCCCAGUCACUUUGGACGGCGAGGAUUUUUCUGUCAAAUUGGCGCUCAACAAGUUUCUGAAACUCUUGGAAAAUAGAGAAGACUUCAGAUUUAUAUCGAAGUAAAUAAAUCCAAGUGAACUUGCUAUAAUCAUCGAUAAAACUGACAUAAUAUUUUUUCUGACCAAAAGAAUCUCAGGCAUGGCCCCAUACAUCACUGAAAAUAAGUUCUAAUGGAGCAUGAGACACACUAGUUGACUUGGGAUAAGGAAGCUGAUGGCUCUUGGCACAUUGACAGGCUUCACAGACAGACUCACAAACUGAACUAGGAGACAAAGAAAGUUUGUCUUUAUUGACUAUUUGUUUGAAAUUGAUCGAAGAUGGAUGCCCUAAUCGUUGAUGCCACCGUGCCAAAGAGGGCUUGAUGACGGAGUAGACGUGACGACGCUUGCGACCUAGUGCUCCGGAUGGAAUAGGGUAGAGCCCUCCAACGCAUCUACCGUGAUGAAGUAGUUCCCUCGUUGCCCGAUCCUUGAUGAAAAAAUAACGAGGGUGAGUUUCAAAGAAGACAUUGUUGUCGGUGGCUAGUCUAGACAUUGAUGCAAGGUUUUUGUCAGCUUGAGGAACAUGAAGCACAUCUCUAAGAACAAGAUCGCGUUUAAGUGUAGGGGAAUUAAUAGAACUUUGACCAAUAUGACAAAUAUACAUACCUCCACCACUAGCAGUGUGAAUCUGAUCGGCGCCAUGAUAGCGCUCGCGUAGAGCAAGUUGCUCGAGUUCGUUCGUCACAUGAUCCGUAGCACCGGAGUCGACGUACCAGACGCCAUCUCCAGCCUGCUCACGCAUGGCGGCAGCAACGUGGCGAUCUGAGGGCACGAAGUCCUCCUCGUAACUAUGCCAGCAAUCAAUCACCUCGUGGCCAGACUUUUUGCAAAGCUGGCAUCGAGGUCGCGGGCGGGAAGGAGCGCGGCGGCCGUUGUUGUUGUUGAAGCCGCCGCUGUUGCCGCUGUUGUUGUAGCCGUCCCCGCCACCAGAGCGUGCGCCAUCGCCAGGGAAGGAGGCGCCGCGUCCGCGCCCACCGCCGCGCUGCCCCUGGUGACCGCGCCCACGGCCGCGACCACGAGAGGCGGAGUUGACAGAGGAUUGCCGAAGGUCGCCGCCAUGGAGCAGAGUUAGCCGGGCAUCAAAACAGAGCAGUUGGAUGUAUAGUUCUUGGACGGUGAUGGGUUCCACCCGGGCAGCAAGUGCAGAGACCACCGGGUUGUAUUCCAUGUCCAAGCCGGCAAGGAUUUUGGAGACAAUCUCCGGAUCAGAGAGGGUCGCAGCCGUGCUUGCGACCUCAUCAGUGAGACUUUUUAUUUUACCAAGAUAAUCAGCCAUGGAUAGGUUACCUUUCUUGAGGUUGGUGAGCUCGAUGCGAGUGUUUAUCGCUUGGGCUUGGCUUUGUGCAGCAAACAUGGCAUGGAUGGUGCGCCACACCUCAGCCGGCAUCUGGAGCGUGGCGACCUGGGCAAGGAUCUCACGGGAAAGUGAACCCAUUAGGUAUCCUUGGAGUUGCUGCUGCUGUGCAUACCAGAGGGAUCUUGCAAAGUUGACGACUUGUUCUUCUUUGCCUUCCGUGGUGAUGGUGAGGGUGGCGGGUGGUGGUGGGCUCGUCGCGUCGAGGUGGUGCUCCAUCUGGGCGCCUCUGAUCUGCGGGAGCACUAUGGCCUUCCAGAGCAAAAAAUUGCCCCGCGUCAGCUUCUCCUGUGGGGGCGAUCCGAGAGAGGUGGUGUUGUGGGUGGAGGAGGAAGAUGAUGCAAAAGUAGAGGAUGAGGUGGUGGUGAGUGCACCCAUGGUACUUGGGGUCAUGGCUGCGAUGGUGGUGGACAUACUCUCGGUCGCGAUGGUAGCUAGAUGCAAUCUCUCUCGAUUGGAUGAGGAAGAGGCUCUGUUACCAUGUAAAAGUGGUUUGGGAAGCGUAGAACCCUUUGUCUCGGGCCGCAUGUAUAUAUUAGGCAGAAGCCUUGGCACACAAGUUUACAGGGGGAGAGAUCGAUCAGAUGGGAUCUAUCAAGUCGUUACAGAAGGAUCGUGAAAGACAGAAGAAGAGAUAGAACAGAAUACAGAAUUUAAACCAACUCUAUCUCUAUACAACUUCUACUACACGUCUACUAUACGCAUAUUCCAACAGUUAACACCAUGUGGCGCCGCUUCAGCUCGCCGCCCGAGGGUCAAGGUCCGGCUACUUAAGCCGUACAACGUCCCCCAGCCCUAGCCACAUCCGCUUCCUCCCUUCCGUGUUGGCAGCCCGAGCCCAUCUGCUUCUUUCCCCUCUUCCCUUGCCAUCCGCCAUGGCCGGGCAGAAGAAGACCACCUACACUAUGCUAACGUCGGAGCAGCGCUUCCAGAUGCUUGAGGAGAUCUAGGCUAGGCGGACCGUUCGGAUCACAGCGGACCUGCCUCUAAAUUCGCUGGAGCAGCAAUCGGAGCCCAUGGAGUAGGAGGAGGAGGAGCCGGAGCCGGUUGCGGACUUUGCCAUGGAGGACACCCUGGCGGAGUUCGAGGUCGCCCAAGUGGUGGAGAUGGCGUAGCAGACCGCUACGCCAUCCAGGAUGAGGCAUAUGUCGAAGCCAACUGGUGGUUCAUCCGGCAAGAAUGGGCGGCGACCGUCUUCUGCCAAACUGGACACGGAGGAGGAGGCAAAGGCCGACACGGAGGUGCCGCAUGUGCCAGAGUUGCAGCUGCUGCCCAUGUACCCGGAGCCGAGCACGAAGAUCGUGGGCAUCUUUGACAAGGAGUAGGGCAGUGUAGGUUCUGGUUGAUUUACGUAGUAGUAUAUGGGUUUUUUCUCUUUUGCAUGCUUUAUAUGGAUUUAAGGUUUCAAGUAUGAGUAAUUCGGAUGCAUAGAACGAAACUUGAGGGUUGCCCGGUCAAUGCACGCAAACGCGCCUGGGCGCGUCCGCGGGCGUUUGAGGGCCUGAAUUUGGUGUCCACGGCUGUAGAUGCUCUAAGCGGCAUGCCGAUUAGUCAAAACCUAUGUAUAUGUGUGGACAAAAGUAAAUUGAUGCAUUCAAACAUACGGGACCCGGAAAUUUUCUCUCAGGAUACCUUGGUGCCAAUUAUAGCAUACCAAAUCCUUCUCCAUAUCCAUGUCAAUUAACUACCAAAUAAAUUUCUACCGAUCCUCUUAAAAAUAAGUUCAAGUCUGCCAUUAUAAUAGAAGUACGACUAAUGUAUUUUCUUGUGAUAUAUUAAUUUCAAUUUUCAAUUCUAUAGUUUUUGGUAUGUUAAUUUGUUUCUUUAGAACCUUCAUUUGCAUAUUUUCCAAAGCAAAAGGUACAAUAAAAAAUGUGUAGGGGAGCAGAAAAAAGAGGGAAAACAAACUGAAAACAAAAGUGAAAAUAGAUAAAUAAACAACAAAAUGUCAUAAUUCUACCUAAACAGACUAAUAUAGCACAAGAAAAUGCAUUCCAUGUAAUAUGAACCUCCCCAAGCCCAUACAUUUUGCCAAAUUUUCGUCUAAUUUGUUGUUUUAGACACUUCAUUUGCGUAUUUUCCAAAAAUAAAAGUGCAACAACAAGGUGUAGGAAAACAGGAAAAAAGAGAGGGGAAAACAAAAGUGAAAAUAGAUAAAUAAACAACAAAAUGUCAUAAUUCUACCUAAACACACUAAUAUAGCGCAAGAAAGUACAUUCCGUGUAAUAUGAACCUCCCUGAGAGCAUAUGUUUAUCCACGAUCAGUUUGAGCAUACUGAAGAUGAUGCUCUGGCAUUUGCGAAGGCCACUGGGUUAGUUACUAGAAUAGUAAAAAUAGAGACCAAAAGGGUUGAGCACACCAAGUAUAGUGAUCCAUGAUAUGCAUCAAAGCAUGUAACAACUAGUUAAGCAGGAUGCCGAUUAGUCAAAACCUAUGUGUAUAUGUGGAGAAAAAUUAAAUGGAUGCAUUCAAACAUAUGGGACCCGAAAAUGUUCUCUGGGGUACCUUGGUGCCAAUUAUAGCAUAUACCAAAUCCUUCUCCAUAUCCAUGUCAAUUAAGUACCCAAUAAAUUCGUAACGAUCCUCGUAAAACUGAAAAGGGGAAACAAUAAGUUCCAGUCCGCCAUUAGGCAUCUGAUGAGAACCUACGUGACGACAUAAGUUGAAAACUCGAAACGUUAAAUCUACUCCAAUUAUGGGAAGCAUUGAGUGUGCAUGGACGCGUCCAGGGAAGAGUGAGAGAGAGGAUUGAGAUGUGCUCGCCAAGAUUACUACGAAUUAAGUCCGUGAUCUCGACCACAUUAAACCCAGCCAGCCUGUGAUCUCAAUAUCUCAUGCGAUCUUCAAAUUUGGCAAGUGAACUUGCAUUCCUCUCAGAUCAUCUCCGGCCUUGUAUAAGUAGGCUCGCACAGAUCCCAUCCAAGAAGAACUCAACUCGUGUGCCAAGAAAAACCAAAUCCAAACCGCGUCCAUGGACGUGGUGCAAGUCGCCAAUGAGGAGGUGCAGCCGGCGCCGACCCUGGAGCUAAACCUCCUCGGCGCUGUCGGUGCUGAGGCGAACGCCGUGGCGGAGGCGGAGAAGGGAAAGGCCAAGUCGAGUGAGGCCACUGAGGCGGCCGGGCCUUCGUCGGUGGUGGCAGUCGCCGGCGGCGAGAAACGCCGCGUGUUCAAGUGCAACUACUGCCCGCGCAAGUUCUACACGUCGCAGGCGCUGGGCGGCCACCAGAACGCUCACAAGCGCGAGCGCUCCGUCGCCAAGGGCGUCGCUGCGGGGCGGGGCGCCGGCCCUGGCGGCCCACUCGUGCCGCACCACCUUCGCUUCCCCAACGCCUGGCCCUAUUCCGCCACCGGCAGGUCGUUCCUCGGCGUCGCGGCGCCGUUCUACGGGAUGCACAUGCACCCCAACCUCCCCGGGUGGGGCCCGGCGGCCCAGCCGUCCCUCGCCGGGCUCACCCGUCACGCCGGCACCGGCCGCCCGAUGUACCCGCGGGCGGAGGCCUACAGCUAUGGCGCGUCGCCCAGGGCCCUCAUCCCGGCGGCCUCCCCUCGCACGACGUCGAUGACCGCGAUCCAGUGGGGUGGUGGCAGUGGCAGUGGCAGUGGCAACGGCGGCGAUCAUAGUGAAGCGAAGCAAGAAGAGGAGGAGAUCGCCAACACGGUAGACUUGACUCUCAGGCUCUAACUAAGCUCCGUAGGGUCUGAUCAUUACUCCGUUAGAGCCUUAUAAGCUUCGGUCUUGUUGUUGACAAUAGUAGUCAAAUGCUAUCAGUCAUUUAAUUAGUUGUUGAUAGGAGAAGUUCAUUCAGUUCUUGGUCGCUUGGCUCUUAUGGAACGAGCCCAACAACAGAAGUUUUGAAGUUAAGUUCUCGUCGGGUGACCGCUUGUUAGACCUCAUCAAAUCGGCGGCGCAUGAUUGGUUUAUAAGGCUGGGGCUUUAUGUCUUGAAAAUCUGUUUGUUUAGGCCUCUAUCAUCUCGCUCUCAUGUUUGGUUUGUAUGGUGGUUUGAAUUUUGUUGUAUCUCUAAGACAUCUGCACUCUUUUCUUCUUCUAUAUAAUGAUCACAUGCAAUUCUCUCUUGCAGGGUUCAAAAAAAAAGGAAGUUAAUUAAUUAAGUUAUUUCUUGUAUUUGUUAGUGCAUGGUCAACUAGCUGCUCAGGGUUCUAGCAAGUAAAUAUUUACACUUCUGCUUCAGUACACCCGCUAAACACAUCAACAAAUGAGAUCUUUCGUUACUCCUUCAUCAUAAUAAAGGGUAGGAUGAUUUAUUUUUUAAAACUUCAUCGCGCGCGCCGAGCAUGAUACGCUGCCUGCAUACAUAUCACACCGGGCCGGCCCAUUUCCCACUUUUUUCCUCUUCUGUAAAACCUAAUAAAGAAAGUGCUGACAAGAUUCCAACCGAGCACCUAUACGCUUAACUAACCAAUAAAUACUACAUCCUUCGGGAGUAUACUAACAUGCGUACGACGGCCUAGUUGGGCCAAGGCCUAAGAGGUCACCUAUACUCAUAUAAGCUCAUGUAAAAAAAGGAGUCAUUUGAUGCUGAAAAAAUAUGCUCUCAAAUGGAUCCUUCUAACCUAUCCGGAUACUCUGCAUUGAACAUGGUCUAUUUUGGACAUGCCUGAAAUGAUCCUAUUUUUUUUCAGUAGGUGAGCAUGCCUAUGAUAGGCAUGCAUCCAUGUCAUAUUUUAACUAAUUCCGACACCGCAUGCAAGUUCGGUCAUGCCCCAUCAUUUAUCGGUCAUUUUUCAUCGAGAAAACUCCAAUAAAUGCAAGAAUUGUCAAAAACUCAAAAUACUUCGUAUGGUGCUUCAUUGAAAAAAAAAAUUGUCCAAUUGAAGGAUGUGGAGGCACAACAUGCUCUUAGAUGGAGGCUUCUGGCCAACCCGAACACCCUCCAUUUAACAUGGUCUAGUUUUUACAUUCUUAAAAUGAUCCUAACUUUUUCAAGCAGGUGGGCAUGCCCAUGGUAGUCAUGCCUGGUUUGAAAAAUUUCUGAUACCGUAUGCAAGUUGCAACACGUCCAUCCAUUUAUUGGCCCUUUUUGACCGAGAAAACUUCAGGAAAUGCAAAAUUUAUCAAAAACAAAAAUAACUUGGCAUGGUGCCUUGAAUUGGUCAGACAAGGCGAUGAAAAAAAUGAUGUCAGGAAACAACACGCUAUUAGACGGAACCUUCUGGACUAUCCGGACACCAUCCAUUGAACAUGAUCUUUGUUUGAACAUCCUUCAAAUGAUCCCAACUUUUGCAAGCUGGUCAACAUACCCAUGGCAGGCAUUCAUGUCAGAUUUAAAUGACUUUCGGUACAAUAUGCAAGUUGCGACACAUCUGGCAAUUUAUCUACCUUUUUUACCGAGAAAACUCUAGAAAAUUAAAAUUUUGUCAAAAAACCAAAAUAACUUGGAAUUGUGCCCUGGAUUGGUCAUACAAGGCAAUAAAAAAAUGAGGGUCAAUUCAAGGAUGUCGAGAAACAACACCCUCCUUUAAAUAUGGCCUAGUCUUGGACAUUCUUGAAAUGACCCCAACUUUUGCAAGCAGGUGGGCAUGCCCAUGGUAGGCAACCAUGCCAGGUUUGAACGAUUUUUGACACUGUAUGAAAGUUGCGACACGUUCGGCUAUUCAACGGCUUUUUUAGUGAGAAAACUUCAGAAAAUGCAGAAUUUGUCGAAAACCAAAAUAACUUAACAUGUUGCUUUGAAUUGGUCAUAAUAGACCAUGGAAAAAAUUAGGCCCAUUUCAAAGAUGUCAAAAAACAACGUGCUCUCAGACGGGCCCUUCUGUCCUUACCCAAAUACCUUCCAUUGAACAUGGUGUUUUUGUGGACACCCAUGAAAUGAGCCCAACUUAUACAAGCAUGUGGGCAUGACCACAUUAAAAAUCCAUGCGGGUUUGAAGGAUUUUCGACACCAUAUUUGAGUUGCGACACAUCUACCUAUCUCCCGUUUUACCGAGAAAACUACAGAAGAUGCAAAAUUGUAGAAAACCAAGAUAACUUAGCAUGAUGCCUUGAAUUGCUCCUACAAGUAAAUAAAAAAUUGGGGUCAUAUGAUGGACUUUGAGCCUUCUGGCCUACCCGGACACCCUACAUUUAACAUGGUGUUUUUUUGAACAAUCUUGAAAUGAUUCCAACUUUUGCUAGCCGGUGGGCAUGUCCAUGGUAGUCGUCCAUGCCAGGUUUGAAGGAAAAAAAGUAUUUGAAAUCAUAGUUUGAUCAGAUACUUAAAACUCUUAUUUUGAUUUUUAACAUAACUAAUAAAUACAAAGGGAUAAAUUUGAAAAUAGUAAAUACUUUCUUUUAAAAUAAAUUCAUAAACAUUUUACAGAAGAAAUAAUUUAAAAUUAUUAUUUAAAAUAGUUAAUUAUAACUUAUAUUUUGGUAUUCAAAAAGGUGAAAAUGAAUUAACACAUUAGAGAGAGAAAAAUAGAAAAGUAGAAAAUAAAAUAAAACGCUUAUGCCUUAACCCAACUAGGAGACGACAUCCCUCCUGUCGGGCACACGUUGGGCCAGCCCAAGGGCUCCCGGAUUUGAAAAAGUUCAUCAGUUGUUUUUAAUAUAUACAUGGAUUUGAAUUUUUUUUGCAAAUUUUCAAAAAGACAUUACUAAAAUAGUUGCAAAGAAACGUUCCCGGUUUUGGGAACCUCAGCUUUCUUGCCGCUUUUUCCAGUUUUGAGAACCUACUAGGAUGUCGUGAACCGCAUUUUAUUCUCUUCUUUUUAUCAACUCUCUAGUUUACUUUUUUCUCUUUCUUUUUUCCUUUUUGUUAUAUUUGACUUUUCAUUUUUUUUUUCUGUUUAUAUUUCUCAUAAAUUAGAAAAUUUCAAAUUUCAAAAUUUGUUCAGAAUAUCCAAAUAUUUCAUGUUCUUCAAAUUUUGCUCAAUUAUUUAUUUAUUUAUUUGCAUUGUUUCAGAAAAAAAGAAUGUUUAAAGUGUCCUAUUUUUCAUAUUCAUUAAUAAAUGUUAAAAAUCCGGAAAAUGUUCAGAAUUUUCAAAUCUUGUUUUGGUUUCAAUUUUUGUUCAUAUUUUCUAAUCAAUGUACAAAAAUAAAAAAUGUUCACAUUUCAAAAACAAAUCAUAAAUUUGGUAAAAUGUUCACGUUGUCAGAUUUUGUUCUGAUUUUUGGAAGGUAUUCCCAUUUAAAAAAAAUUGUUCACGGAUUUAAAACUGUUUGCUUUUCCAAAUUUUGGUCAUAUUUUUAAAAUGUGCCAGCGUUCUGGAUACGGGGGUACCCAGACUUGCCUGCCUGCGGCCCACGACGUGGCUCCAUUGACGCCCUGGUACGGCCCAGCUUUAGCAUCAACAACUCAAGACCCUCGCGAGGGGUCAAGCCUCGCGAGGCGGACGACGCCAAGACCUUCAAGGGGAUCGGCCUCCCCAGGCUGGCUCCCGAGGAGCGGAGAUUUCUAUGCAAGGUGCACCUCGCGAGGUUCGGUUGACGUGAGCCAUGACGACCAAGGACAGGCGGGCGCCAGUGGGCGCAGAGUACCAGUUUCCUCUUCGGUGCAAGGGAGGCAAGCAACAGGAAUGGAGUCCCGAGAAAUCAACCAAAGAUUUCCAUUCUAAUGCAACAAGACCAAGACCGCCAACACGGCAGGACAGAGGUCACCACCGAGCCCACCGCAGCGUCACAACCAGAGGCUUUUGUAGGCGAAGACCGCUUUAGUCAGGAUAAGAUGUACCUGUUGUCUCCCUUCAAAUUUGGCUGUCGUGGGAUCCCUUCCCACCUACAUAUGGGAAGAGGACGAAGGCCACUAUAAAUAGGACCUAGCCACCACCAUGGGAUGGGAUCGAAUCUAUUCCACCCUCUCCACCUCACCAGCUCACUUGAGCUUAAGAACACGCCUCCUAAGGCUGUUCUCCACUGUACUAGUUCUUCCUAAGCCCCUCGAGGCAAUCCACCACAAAACAGGAGUAGGGUUUUACACCGCAAGAUGGCCCGAACCUGGGUACAUUGUCGUGUCUUUCUUUCCCUUCGAGCUCGACGCGAUAGGCUGUGAGGUUUGCGAAUUGUCAGGCUGGGUAGGUUGAGAUCACUGCAUGCACCCCAGAGUUCGAACCUCUCAAGGGUUUGUGGAACCCGAAAUCCGACAAAAUGUGCCCGUUUUAAAAUUUUCUUCACAAAUUAAAACACGUCCCCUUUUUCAAAAUUUGUCGACAGAUUGAAAUAAUGUUCAGGGAGUUUCAAAUAAUCUUCAUGCAUUCAAAGUUAUUCAUAAUAUAAAAAUAUUCAUGUUUAAAAAGAACUGCACAAAUACAAAAAGAUGUCCAGGGAAAUUUUAAAAAAAUUGGUUUCAUUUUCUGUUCGUUUUUUCUGUUUUCUGGAAUUCAAAUUUAGUUACUGUUUUCUUUAAAUGUGUUCAAAAUUUUGUUGACUCUUUUUGAAAAAUGUGUGUAUUUUGACAUUAUGAGUAAUUUUGAAAGAUAUGAACUUUUGGUGAAAUUUCUUUAUCAUUUUUAGAAAUACUAAUAUUUUUAUUUUGUGAAAAGAAAAGGAAAAAUGAAACCCGAGUGGAAGUCAUGCAUAAAAAAACAAAGAAGAACCAAAGAGUGAAGGAGUUGUGUUUUUUCUUAGAUUUAUCUAUCUCGGUCAACAAGAAAAGAACAAGGUUAUUAGGCAUGCCAGAUAAGCUAUCCCAGAUGGUUUGUGCGCUUACAUACAGUUCGUGAGCUCUAGUUCGAAUCGCGUGUUGGACAUCUAUAUUUUGAAGUUUAAAAGCAAAAAAAACUGUGUUAGCCCAGGAGGAGGGGUGUGCACUACGAAUCGUAUGGCGUAUGCAUUCUACAUAUGACAGUGGUACGAUUUGCAGAAGGUCCAUACUACCCUUUAUAUGUUUUGUGAGGGGAGGGGGGAGGGGGGGUGUACCAAAGUGGGAAUCAAAUAUUUAUCUCUUGUUUCAUGCACUAUAGAUACUAGAUGAUACCCCGCGCGUUGCUGCGGGAAUUUUGUAUCAAAUGAUGUUCAAAAAGUAAGCGUACAUAAAACUAUGGAGUUCAAUGAUAUGAUGGUAUUGGAUGUUUUAGAUACCAAAUAAACGGCCGAUGUCCAACUCAUACUUGCAUAAUCAUAUAAAUAUCAUGUUUCUCUAGGUUUAGAAAGAAUAUACACAUUGUGGAAUAGAUCAAUUGUGUUCCCAUAACAAUGUCCAACACGAAGUAAAUCAAGGCAAGACAAUGAAAAAUUGCAGGUACAGAUGCCGACUUGAGGAAAGAAACGCCUCUAAGGUGAUACGGUGCAGCUGAUAUAUAUGUGGCAUACUUCCUUGUUAUAGCUAGCGUUUGUUAUACUGAACCAUAUAGUAUAUUAGCUAGUUCCAUAUAAAUGUUAUUUGAAAACCCUGAAGUGUAUCAUAAAUUAUUUUUACUCCCACUAAUUUUAAUUCAUGUGUCGUGGUAUAUUCAUCUGAGUGUGUGUAUGCAGAGGAUGAGAUGGCCAAAGUUAUUAUGCAUCUGAGCAUGUGCUGACAUCUGUCAUCAUAUCCGUCUUGCUUGAUUUCUGUUCAAGUGUGGAACCAUGGCAUUUGCAUAGUAAUAAUAAAUCAGUUGCUACGUAUAAUUGUAGCUUGAUGGAAAAUCAAGACAUAUUUGCAUAUUUGUUUUGCGCAUAUUAGGCAGCUCAAAUGUUGCAUGAGUCGCCCCUCAUGUAUGUCUAAGAAAAGGUGCAUAAAAGCAUGGUAAGAUGUAGCCAAGUCCAUAUCGGUGUAUAUGCUAACGUUGCCUAGUCGGAAGAAAGGAACCAAAAUAUAUAUGAGAUACUGUAUUCCAAUGUAGGAUGAUGACGUGAAUAAUAGAGGAACAAACCCCCUUGUACAUGAACACCGCAAUACCAUAACUUGGAAGAAGAAUUUAAGGCUACACAGAGCAUGGAUCCUAAAGCAAAUUGGCUAUGGUCGAUCAAAAUCUCAAGUAAAAUUGCUAUAUGCUUUAUCAGAGUAAGUUCUACACUACCGGCCAUACUCUCCUUUUAGCUUAUGUUUAGUAAAUUGUAAGCAUGCACAUCAUAUUGAAUCAAACUCUGAUGGUCUGAUGUGUAAACAAAUUUAGUCAUUUUUUGCCAUGACAAUAUCAUGUACUCCCUCCGUAAACUAAUAUAAGAGCGUUUAGAUAACUAUUUAGUUAUCUAAACGCUCUUAUAUUAGUUUACGGAGGGAGUAUAAAUCAUUGAAUGAGUAACAUACUGGAUUGCUGGUCGUAUUAUUUCUAGAAAGUUCUUACAACCACUGCUAUUUUCUGUCUACAUCCUUUGAAAUAACAAUGAAGGGACGGGGGAAAGUCCAAAAUAUCAUGGUGAAACGUCUGAACACCGUCAGAAAAACCAAUAACAGGAUCUCUCACCUUAGGAAAUCCCAAAUGCUCGUGAUUACACAUCAGUCAAGAAAAUCCAGAUCAAGUCUUGCUAUGAUGGAAUAGAAUAACAAAACAUGAGUGGGCAUAUAUAGGAACAAAAGAAAGAAAUUCAUUAGGAAAUAGACAAUAUUUUCUAUAUUCUGGUGGUGGAAGAGAGAAUGAGCUCACGGGCUAUUGAUCUUGUCGUGGCCGUGCCGAAAAGCUAGUGAUUGCUGACUCCAUCGUCAGGUCUAGAUGUACCUCACUUAGCAAUGCGGGCUCACAUCAAUUCUCUCCUUGGCAUCCUCACAGCCUUGCUAUCCUUGUGAAGGCGUCUACCUGGAUUCAUAGAAGGCCAGCAAAUGGUUUGGCAAUGGGACUAUGGGAGCCCUACACACAUGACGGGAGCGCCACCACGGGCCCCACUCGGCCGACCCGCCGCCACUUGCUCUGGGGUGGGGAAGGUGACCGGAGGACGCGCCGGCACCGAGCAGGGUUCGCCGCGGCCUUCCCAGACUUAUGCCGAGACACCCGGCGCGCGACCGCAAGUUAAUCGCGGAGAGUAGCCGGUUCCGAUCUCGGCGUGGCGGCAUCCUCCGCGAGGUGCUCUACUUCCCAGUCGGGAGCGCCUACGCUGGGGAAGCUGGAGGCAGGGCGGGGACGGCCACCGGGGGAACUCGUCGCCAGGGAGGGGGCGCCUCUCGCCAUUGCUUACCCUGCCAAAAAAAUAAAUUGCAUGUGCACGCCCAAGCAGUCCAGAGAGAAAUGCAAGACGGGAAGAGCAACUGAAUCGCCGGUGUAGGAAAUCGAUCCGUUUCUGUUGGUAGUGGAAUUUGAUGCAGUUUGGAGAAGAUGAAGAGGAAAGGGUGCUAAGACAUGACGCGCUGCGUUGAGGAAAAACGAUGCGAUGGGGAAUCAUGUGCACAGGUCACAGACGAAAUUCUCCUGAGAAAAAUAAAUAAAUAUUGAUGCUUAUGUGGCGGUGGGUCCUUAGCAAGUAAUAACCGAAGCUUGUGUGGUAAGGGCGUUCUAGUGGUUGGACCCAUAUGUAAGUCAAUAAAAGAAUGAUGACAUGGCUGAUGUGCUUAGGUGGAUAGGCUGCAUGUCAAGAGAAUUAGUUUAGUGGGGAUGAACUAUUUAGGUAUUAUAGAUUAUAGAUUUGCAAGCAGACUCCCCUAGCAGUAGAAGCCACCGGUGCCUCCACCGUUACACCGACUCCGCAUCCCCAUCAUAGGUGUUAGCCACGAAGACCUCCUGAGACGGGUUGUAGCUUCCCGGGCUCUUGGUGUCGAGCCAAAUUUAAGAACCGAGGGUGCAUUUGCCAUGAUAUGCACAAUUAUCUAGAUACACAUACUUUCCUUCUAAAUCCACAUCUGCCAUGAUGUAUAGAGGGUAUUUUCCAUGAUUUCAAAAGACCUUGGCAAAUUCGCUUUACAGAACACGGCAAAUUCACUUUAUGGAUCAUGGCACAUUUUUUUGACAAUGAAAAUUUCUUUCCUCAUCGUCCAUAGCAAAUUCAUCUUAUUGUCCAUGGAAAAUUUACAUUUUUCAAUAAAUUGACAUGUUUCAAAGAACAAAAAUUCCAACACUUGAUUCCUUCUGUGUCCAUGGAAAAUCCAUAAAAAAUCCCAUAUUUUUCAAAAAAAAUCUAACUUAAUGGCCCAUGGAAAAUGUAGUUUACGUCUAUGGGAAAUUCACCUUUUCCGACCAUGCAAAAUUUAUUGUUUGGAACAUGCCAUUUAAAAAAAGAUUAGACCAUCAUAAUUUUGGUUUUCACCAUAAAGUUUUACUAUUUGACCAUGGCAAAGAUUUUCUUUUACAGGCCAUGGACAAAUUUAUUGGUUUCACCCUUGCAGAUUCAUUUUGCUGGUUAGACACUGAUAAAAUUAAUUUUUUAAACCUUGACAGAGUUUAAAAUGAAGGAAAUAUGCCCUAGAGGCAAUAAUAAAGUUAUUAUUUAUUUCCUUAUUUCAUGAUAAAUGUUUAUCAUUCAUGCUAGAAUUGUAUUAACCGGAAACAUGAUACAUGUGUGAAUGCAUAAACAAACAACAUGUCACUAGUAUGCCUCUACUAGACUAGCUUGUUAAUCAAAGAUGGUUAUGUUUCCUGACCAUGAACAAAGAGUUGUUAUUUGAUUAACGAGGUCACAUCAUUAGUAGAAUGAUCUGAUUGACAUGACCCAUUCCAUUAGCUUAGCACACGAUCGUUUAGUAUGUUGCUACUGCUUUUAUCCAUGACUUAUACAUGUUCCUGUAACUAUGAGAUUAUGCAACUCCCGUUUACCGGAGGAACACUUUGGGUGCUACCAAACGUCACAACGUAACUGGGUGAUUAUAAAGGAGUACUACAGGUGUCUCCAAAGGCAGAUGUUGGGUUGGCGUAUUUCGAGAUUAGGUUUUGUCACUCCGAUUGUCGGAGAGGUAUCUCUGGGCCCUCUCGGUAAUGCACAUCACUAAAGCCUUGCAAGCAUUACAACUAAUGAGUUAGUUGUGAGAUGAUGUAUUACGGAACGAGUAAAGAGACUUGCCGGUAACGAGAUUGAACUAGGUAUUGGAUACCGACGAUCGAAUCUCGGGCAAGUAACAUACCGAUGACAAAGGGAACAACGUAUGUUGUUAUGCGGUCUGACCGAUAAAGAUCUUCGUAGAAUAUGUAGGAACCAAUAUGGGCAUCCAGGUCCCGCUGUUGGUUAUUGACCGGAGACGUGUCUCGGUCAUGUCUACAUUGUUCUCGAACCGUAGGGUCCGCACGCUUAAGGUUUCGAUGACAGUUAUUAUGAGUUUAUGUAUUUUGAUGUACCGAAGAAGUUCGGAGUCCCGGAUGUGAUCACGGACAUGACGAGGAGUCUCGAAAUGGUUGAGACAUAAAGAUUGAUAUAUUGGACGGCUAUAUUCGGACACCGGAAAGGUUCCGGAAGUUUCCGGAGAAAACCGGAGUGCCGGAGGGGUUACCGGAACCCCCCGGGGGAAGUUAUGGGCCUUAGUGGGCCAAGAGGGGAGAGAGAGGGGCCGCACCAGGAGGUGGCGCCCCCCCAGGGGAGUCCGAAUAGGACAAGGAGGGGGGGGCGCGGCCCCCCUUUCCCUCUCCCUCUCCCUCUCUUUCCUUCCCCCUUCUCCCUUCCUAGUUGGACUAGGAGAGGGGAGUCCUACUCUAACUAGGAGGAGGACUCCCCCCUCCCUUGGCGCGCCACUAGGGCCGGCCGGCCUCCCCCUUGCUCCUUUAUAUACGGGGGCAGGGGGGCACCCUAGGACACACAAGUUUGAUCUACGGAUCGUUCCUUAGCCGUGUGCGGUGCCCCCUUCCACCAUAUUCCACCUCGGUCAUAUCGUCGCGAAGCUUAGGCGAAGCUCUGCGCCGGUAGAACAUCAAGAUCGUCACCACGCCGUCGUGCUGACGGAACUCUCCCUCGACACUCGGCUGGAUCGGAGUACGAGGGACGUCAUCGAGCUGUACGUGUGUCAAGAACUCGGGGGUGCCGGAGUAACGGCGCCGGGAUCGGUCGGAUCGCGAGGAGAACGUACGACUACUUCCUCUACGUUGUGAUCGCUUCCGCUUCGGGUCUACGAGGGUACGUAGACAACACUCUCCCCUCUCGUUGCUAUGCAUCACCAUGAUCUUGCGUGUGCGUAGGAAAAUUUUGAAAUUACUACGUUCCCCAACAGUGGCAUCCGAGCCUAGGUUUUUAUGGUUUGAUGUUUUGCACGAGUAGAACACAAGUGAGUUGUGGGCGAUACAAGUCAUACUACCUACUAGCAUGUCAUACUUUGGUUCAGCGGUAUUGUGAGAUGAAGCGGCCCAGACCGACAUUACGCGUACGCUUACGCGAGACUGGUUUCACCGCUACGAGCACUCGUUGCUUAAAGGUGACUGGUGGGUGCCUGUCUCUCUCACUUUAGUUGAACCGAGUGUGGCUACGCCCGGUCCUUGAGAAGGUUAAAACGGAGUCUAUUUGACGAAGUAUCGUUGUGGUUUUGAUGCGUAGGUGAGACUGGUUCUUGCUUAAGCCCGUAGCAGCCACGUAAAAUUUGCAACAACAAAGUAGAGGACGUCUAACUUGUUUUUGCAGGGCAUGUUGUGAUGUGAUAUGGUCAAGACGUGAUGCUAUAUUUU